rnacentral:misc_RNA from 1 species
GUUGUCAUAAGUAUCACUUGCUGUUUGAGAAACCUUGAGAUUCUCAUCACUUCUAGACCCUUUAUUUUCUAAAUGAGACAAUGCUGAGAUGGAAGAACCAGAAUCAUAACUGUUGGCUAUAACAACAGCAUCAUCAUAGUAUUCGUGCAAACUAGGCGUAGCACCAGUUCUAGAAUCACUAGGAAAAAUUAGAUCAGACUUCUGGGUAAGAUCAGGCUUCGCAAAAUCAUGCUUAGCAUGUAUUUCGGAUGGCUCUAGAACAGAUCUGCCAACAGCAUCAGAUGUAGCAGCUCCACUGGAGUCCUUAGUUUUAGUGUGUUCAUUUCCUGAAUGCCGAUUAUCAACGCCUCCAUCAGAGGCAAGCUGUUGAGUAUUUGAAGUUGUCUUUUUAGCCUUCUCUGCUGCUCUCUUCUUACGAAAUUCCUCUAGCUUCUUUUUCCCAGCUUGCAAAUGCUCUUGCUUUUUUAGUACCUGAGCUGACGCCAUCCAAAAUCCUCAAA